rnacentral:misc_RNA from 1 species
AAAUGUGUUCUAGCUCCUUAUUUUCCUCCUACCGAACCUUACAAGUUCACCAUUGCUCAUAGAGUCUUUGGAGCCAGUAACAUCAUCAAGUUCUUGCAGGAACUCCCUGAAUAUCAGAGAGCAGAUGCGGUAAGCAGCAUGGUUUAUGAAGCAAAUGCAAGGAUUAGAGACCCAGUUUAUGGGUGUGCAGGUGCAAUUUGCCAGCUUCAAAGGCAAGUAAAUGAGCUUCAAGCUCAACUGGCCAAGGCACAAGCUGAGGUAGCAAACAUGCAAUGCCAACAAGCCAAUUUGGUUGCUCUGAUUUGCAUGGAAAUGACUCAAUCUCAUCAUCAUCAUCAAGAACCCAUUUUGCAGCAGCAACAAUAUAUUGAUACAAGCUGUUUCCUAGAUGAGACCAAUUUUGGCACAUCCUGGGAGCCUCUAUGGACAUGAUGAGAGAGAGGAACAAAAUACAAAAUUAUUUAAAUCCUUCAAAGGGGCAUGAGAAAUUGAAAAAAAAAAAUCAAGAAAACAAAUAUAUUCAAUAAAGUCGAUUUAAUUAGUUAUGGUUAGAUAUGAGUCAGUAAUUAUUUUCUAUUUAGUCUAAAAUCGACUAGUGGAAACCUUUGAAAAAGAAACUGAUGUUGAUGGGGCGGCUUUCUUACUUGUAUUCAUUAAUUUUCUAAGGUAUGGAAAGGAGAGGCAUAU